rnacentral:rRNA from 1 species
GUCUAUUGCUGUGCCACCCUGAAUAAGCCCGAUGUCUGAUCCCAGAAGUUAAACAGGGUCGGGCCUGGUUAGUACUUGGAUAGGAGACCACCUAGGAAGACCAUGUGCUACAGGCA